rnacentral:lncRNA from 1 species
AGCUGCUCACUCUGAAAGUCUUUUUGGGAGCUUGAAAUUGGCCAACUCUGUGUGCCUGCAGGUUUGCACUCGGAGGCCAGAGGAGAACAAGGUGGCGGCGGCUGCAGCAAAAGCAACAGAGGCCUCAGAGAAGCAGAGGAAUGCCACCUGGUGUUAACAGUGGGGCCAAUUAAGGAGACCAGGAAUUAAGGAAAUCUGACACCUGUAAGGAGAUUAACCCAAAGGAGAUGCAAUGUUAUAUGGAAUUUCUGCUACAUGGGGAGCGACAUGUGGAUGAAACAGGCCGGUGAGCAGGUUUGGGCUCCUCCGGUUUCUGUCCUGAGAUGUGUGGCGGCUGCUCCGUGCACGGCUGGAGCUCUCUCCAGGAACAGCCGUCAGGGCCUCGCUGCAGCAGUAAUGGGCUUGGGCACUGUGUCAGCUCCCUUCAUACUGAUGAGAGCUUAUAAAUAUAUAAAUAUAUACGUAUACAUAUGGGAAGUUUUGCAGUCAAACCACACGGAUGUUUUCGGUGGAGCAGCCACAGCUCACUGCCCACCUGCCUGCCAUCAAAUCAAGAGUUUUCCAGCAGUAUCAGCAUCAAGCAAAUCCCUGCAAGAACCCUGGCAGGAUGGGGAGGGAGAGGGACACAUCUCCAUGUCCCCAGCCCCACGGAGCCCCCUGAGCCUGAAGGUUGGAGCAGACAGGGCUGGAAAAAAGCUCGGCCCCUGUGACCACGGUCCGGCAAAGCCAGGCGAGGAGCUGAGCACAACGCAGAGAUGCGUGCAGCUGGGAGGCCAGGAGUCAGAUUAA